UUGGUUUUUCAGUGCACAUGAUUAUUAUUGCCGGGUCACUGACUGCGCUGAUAGUUGUAAUCUGCAUGCUCGUCAUGGCUUUCAUCAUCAUUAAAAAACAUAGACCAUCUCAGAAGAAAAUGGACAGUGGACUACCACCAGAUGACCAAACGGUGAACGCCAAUGAAGUAACGUAUUGUGCAAUUAAUGAAACAAUUAAAGGAACAAAUUUGGAUGUAA